UUCAAUCUUAGACCUAAGUCUCGAUCCUAAUUCGAAGCUACCUCUCCAACUAUUUAAGGCAAAUCAGAAAUAGUAAACACUCUAGCGUAAACAGAGUCUUUCUUUUAGUUUUGAAAACACAAACUUUACAAUCUUUUAAAUCUUCAACGGCUCGUUGCUCUCUCUCCUCAUGUAAGUCUGAUCAGGCUUAUCAAAAUCAUGUUUAAUUUUGUUGAAUUCUAGUAGUCAACCGCUCCGUUUAAUACACU
rnacentral:lncRNA from 1 species